GCAUACAUACAUAUACAUAUAUACAUGCAUAUAUACAUGCAUACAUAUAUUUGGCAGCAUGGCCUCUGAGAAGAACUUCUUACAUCAUUCUAGUUGUUCUGCCAAUGAGAUGUACUUUAUCUAAAAUUCCAACAUGUCAGCAUUCCUCUACACACUGCACAUAAAUGAUGAUAGCAUGAGUCUCCGGUGCAUGAAUUAAACCACCGAACAGUAACUUAUAUGAGCAAGUUGUGAGCUAUUUAGGAAAGGUGUUUGGGGAAAUUUGACAUCCAGUGGGCACUUUGAUUUCUGCCUUAAAGAAAAAUGCAGUUCUUCUCUUCAUCUAGAUUCUUUCCGAGUCUAUGAGAACCUAGAGAGCUGGUUGCAUGAGAUUAAACCACAUAACAGAUAAGAUAAUCAUCAUUUGUAGAUAGGAUACAUGCUUCUAGAAGAUGAGAACUUUGAUUUCAACAAUAUUAGAUGUAUGCAAGGGAAUCUAGAACACUGCUAUGGUGAGUUCUGUUUGCAGAAUCUAUCUUAAAUAUUCUUUGUGCACAACCUGAAUACCAAUUUAGACUUUUUGUAGAUCUGAAAUAAUUUAACACAAAAGUUCCAUGAGUAAUAAAAAAUACAACAGAGGCCUUUGCGCAUGGUAAUAUCAAGCCUUAUCAACAAGAAAUGCUCUAUGAUCAGACCACCAACAAAAUCAAUCAACCUGCUGCAGUGUCAUGUAGUAAGACAAUGGUCAGAAUACUUAGAAAAUCCUUUCCGCACACAAGGGUGGAGGGGAGAGAAUGGUGGCUGGCCUGCUAAUGUCAUGUUAAUUUCAGUAACUGGAUUUAUUUCAUGAACCUAAUUACGUCUUUUCCUUCAAUGGGACAAAAGUAUAGAACAGGAAAAGAAAUACAUUAGAUCAAUGAAAAACGAGGCUUCUAGCAAUCGUUAACUUCUUUCUCUAUAUUCCUAUAGGCAGUUUUGGUUGGUAUGAAAAUUUUGUUGUUUCUAAGCAAAAGAUACUUUCUACCAAGAUUUGCUAUCUCGAUACCGGACCCUGUACCGAUGCCACACUAGCAUAAUGUCAGUACGGUGUGGUAUCGAUUUUUUUGGCGUACCGAGUGUAUACUGGGUACUGGUACUGAACCAAUGCGGUACGCCCCAUACUGUCCGGUUUGGAUCGGUACGGCGUACCAUGCUUUCUACUAUUACACUUCUAUAUAUUCAUCCUUUUUUCUUUUUCACAUAAAUACCGAAUUUAAUUUAUCACAGUAUAACUAAUAUGGAUUAUGGAUAUAGGGUUACUAUAACAGUGAAAUGUAAAGAAAUCGGAAAAAAGGAUUUGAUUUGGGAUUGCUUACCGGGCAUUUGGCUUCAGAUGAGGAUUCCAGCAGAUAUUUAUGGAUUUCAACUUAACUUCUCAUGCUUUUUGUAAACAUUUUAUUUUUUCCAUUAGUUUCACUUAUUGGAAAUUAAAACACAUAGUCAGCUCAAUCAGGAGAUAUAAGCUUUUGCUUUCAUGCACCACUAUGAUGAAAUCCAUUUUUGCUACAACUUUUCUAUACACGCUUAGCAUUUCAGCUACCAUUUGAUGAAAAAUAGUUCUUUAUUGUCUUUAAAGUUUGAACAACAGAUUGUGCAUUUCUUUACCAUUUACUUUUCUUCACUUUAAUAUAAAGGUGCCUUUUUUUUAAAAGAAAAAUGUGUCUUCUCACUCUCCGCUAUUGCUUGUGCAUUUAAUUUGUUGGCUUUUGUAACAUAUAAGCAAUUUCAGGCUCGUGGUAUUGUUAUAUAGUACAAUUCAAUUUUGUUGUAGUGUCAUAGGCUCCUCAUUUAGUUGCUCUAUUAAACACUAACAUCAAAUUUUCUUUCAACAUAAAAAUUAUGAUAUGCUCAUAUAAAUAAUGAAGCGGUUGACUAAAGAUGCUCUCAUUUGCUCUUAUAAAAUACAAUAUUACUUCAUAAACAAUUUAAAAUGAUUUGAGUCUUCUCAAAUAGUGUAUGCCAAGAUUUCAGGUAUUGACAUUACUGACCAUCCUGUAGGUAAUAUACCAUUCCAUAGAAAGAAUAGUGUGUAGGACAACUAUGGACAACUGUUCCUUUGUGAGUCGGGAUGCCUUGCCCUUCGUGCUCAAAAUUGGUCGAGAUAGGUCGGUACCGAUUUAAAAUGAUUUGAGUAUUCUCAAAUAGUGUAUGCCAAGAUUUCAAGUAUUGACAUUACUGACCAUUCUGUAGGUAAUAUACCAUUCCAUAGAGAGAAUAGUGUGUAGGACAACUAUGGACAACUGUUCCUUUGUGAGUUGGGACGCCUUGCCCUUCGUGCUCAAAAUUGGUCGGGAUAGGUCGGUACUAAAGCUAGUCUAGCCAAUACUAGGUAGGACUUGACUAGGUCCCCUUGUUUAGAAAGGAGAGCGACAAUAGGGCUCUCCUCGUUCUCUUCUGCUUUCUUCAUUCACCCAUGCCUUAGUCAGAGAGAGAGAGAGAGAGAGAGAGAGAGAGAGAGAGAGAGAGGAGGGUAAAGAGGGUGGGAGAGAGAGAGAGGAGGGUAAAGAGGGUGGCUUAGCCCAAUUUGGCCUGUCCUUACUAUGAUUUGACCUUGUUAGCAUCAAAAACCUCAUGCAUCUUGUAAGGUCCUUCACUCCCUCUUCUUUUCCACCAAAAAUAAGAAAAAUGGGAAGGUCAUGCCAAUUUUUUUUGUUCAAUAUUAAGACCUAGUUGUAAACAGGACAAACAGAUAGUUUCCUUGGGAUUAAAAGUGAGUUAUAUGAUAUUUCACUCAGAAUCAUGAUUCUGUUAUACAUUUUAUGACUCAUUAGUGAUAAGAGAUUUUACUUAUAUUUAUUGGCGAUUUAAACAUUUUAUCCAAACCAUAGGUAUUGAUAUUAGUACCGGCACAACACACCCCAUCAUUUGACUUCAAAAAAUAUGUUUAAGGACAUUAAAGCAUAUCAAUAUUUAAAAAUUUAUUUAGAAUAAAAGAUUAAAAAAAAAAAGAUCAUCCCUGUAUGAUAUUGGGUAGCUAGGCCAUCCUAAGAGUCGGGAUAGGAGCAUCCUGAUACUGUACUGACCCAGUACUAAACCUAUAUAGUGGUUUUUCUUGCAUUAAGCCCUUGGUGUAUGCUAUUUAUAAAAAUGGAUAGUGUGGGUGCAAUUAACUAUAUAGUGGUUGUUACUGCGUUAGGCCCUUGGCGUAUGCUAUUUAUAAAAAGGAUAGUGUGAGUGCAAUUAAAAUACAAUUUAUGAUGACAAUUAUGUUGUAUCCAAAACAUUCUUUGUUGCAUUUGUUUCCUAAUAUUCAUGUUCAUAUGGGUUUCGUAUUUUUUACGUGUCAAUGUUGGCAUUCAAUGCAUGAGCUAACUCCUUGAUUUUUCUUAUUGUUUGCAAUUGCUACCUGGAAUUGUUAUCCUGAACAGAAAAUUUACAAUACCCAAAUAAUUUAGCUUAUUUAUUAGGAUUUUUCAUUUACUGAAGUUACUUAAUUAUUUUGUAUAAACAAGAACUAUUUGAAGUUUUUUCACUUUCCACUUGUACAUCAUAUUUCCGUGUGCUAUGGUUACUGCCUAAUGAUUCUUGAAAUUUGUUUUAUGGUGAUGAUGUAUCUUUGGAGGGAAUACAUGAGGAACUAGAAGAAUGCAAGAAUGAUAAUGGGAGGCAUAUGUUGAUAGAUUGGCAAGUACAUGAGGUCUGAAAAAUGUUCACAAAUAAUUGCAUAAGAAAAUAGAUAUGAAGAUAGAGGUAUGCUUUGAUAAAUUCUAUAUAUGUAGUAAAUGAAAGGGCAGUCUCACCAUUUGUCAACAAAGCAAAAGAAAGAGAUGGUAAUGCAUCCAUGUGUCUAGUUACACUAGUUAAGUUGUAAAGAAAGUGCCAAACUAGUAGAAAAUUUUUAGUCAAGUUCUGCAACUAGUAGCUUCUUCGAGGCCAAACUAAUGGCCAAAAGUUAAAAGUGGUUUUCCAUUGGAAUUUCUAUAAAGAUUUGAGUUUUUUGAAGUAAAUAACAUUAUUUUUAUUUUUCAGCCUUAAUAAUGUGAAAUAGUUCAAAAAAGAUGAAGUAUUAAGCAUACUCAUAAAUCUUUUUAGCACAAAAUUUUGUGUAUUUCUAUGAUCAAUGUGGCCUAUAGCACUGAGGUUUUGUGUACUGAUCAUAGCAAGUGGUAUAGGGCAUACUAUAUUGACUUUGUAUUGUAUAGGUACGGCAUAGGGGCACGUUAUGCUCUCGGACUGACACAAGGUAUGGGUGCUAUAUUGAUUCCAACAUGGCACCACAUGUUAAUUUGGGAUAGAUAUACUAUACCGAUGAGAUUCUAGUAUAGGGCCAGUAUCGAGAAUUAAAAUCUUGUAUAGGCCAAGUUGUGCUCAUAAGUAGGGUUUUGUUUUUGGAUCAGGGUUGUAUCCUUCGCAUGCAAGAAAGAAGGAUUCACCUGCCUUCGUGCGAAUCCCUCGUCAGACCAUCCACUAGUCGAUUUGAGAUUUGUGCAGGCAGAUGAAUGGCAUAGUUUGGAGUGCUUUGAGAUCUGUGCGGUAUGAUCCAGCAAUGGAUUUGUGCAAAGGAAGGUGAAUCCUUCUUUCACAUGAAAUAUACAACCACCUUCCUUUGUUUCUUAGGUUUUAGGAUGUUACAACCUAAGUAUAAUUUUAGUUGCUAUGCAUGUUUGUAGUAAUAACAGAGGAUCUGAUUUAAAGAAUGAGCUAGUCUUAUAUGUUACUGACUGCUUGACACAAAAAGCUUAAGCUAGGAGGGAAUAGGUCAACAAUGUAUAUUAAGGUUAACACUUCAUGUGUAGCACAAAUCAUGCAUGUGGAGGGAUAAACAGUCAAGACAACAACUAAAAUGAGUUUGUAUGGUAAUACACAAAUCAAGACAACAAUUACAAUGGGCCAAGAUGACUAAUUAAGAAACUCCCAUGGAGGGGAUUCUCUCAUGCCCUCUAGCAACUACAACUUGGAUACCAUGUCAAUAAACCACCAGACACCAAAAGAUUAAGCUGGUAGCGAACGGAUCAACAAUAAAUAUUAGGCUUAGCAAUACAAAUGCCCACUUCUAUAGCAAAAAGAACCCCUAAAGUUGUCAUGGUGGUAAGGCUAUAAAGAGCUUACCGAAUAUCUGCUUAUCAUAAUUUUUUAUUAGCAAGUCGCAAUUAGUCCUAAACCUUUUUUUUUAGCAGAUUAGCUCUCAUCUUUGAUGAUGCUAUGUAUGGUCCAAGGUUCGUUGUCUUAAUACUGAACCCCAUAUCGAUACCAUCCUAUUAUUAGUGUCAAAACACCUGGCAUGGGAGCCAAUUCGACGUACCGAGUGUUGGUAUGUCCUCUGUACAAUAUACUGGUUUGAUAUCGGUAUCGUACAAUACGAUCGGUAUACACCGGUACGGACCGAUAUGACAAACCUUGACUAUGAAAUAAUUUUUAGCUUAGAUACAUUGUUCUCUUGAUAUUAAUUGGCCUUUUGGAGUGCUAGAAGCCUAGAACACUAUUUUUUAAAGAUUCACUGUCUCGGUAUCGGACCUCAUGCCGUGCCACGCUAGCAUUGUGUCGGUACUACCGUAUGGGAUCUUUUCGGCAUACCGGAUAUUGGUACGCCUCUCAUACUGGAUACCGGUACCGAACCGGUACGGUACGGUAUGCCCUGUACCGCCUAGUUUGGGCUGGUAUGGUGAACUAUUCUUUUUUUUUAUAUAUAUGAGUCCAUUUUUUUCAUAGUUUCCACGUGUGCUUCAUUUUACUAAGCAUGUUUCAAAGUAAUGACAUGAUCUUGAAUUACUAUUUUUGUGACACUUAUUCUUACCUUCGUAGUUUCAUUAGUCCGAGGAUGAUGAAACUGAUUGUGAUCUAGUUUUCUAUAUUACUUAAUGGCUUGAAAGUCUGUGACUCUAGUUUGGAUGGAAUAAGCCUUUUCUAUGAUAAGGAAAUGGUAAGGCAGCAAUCAUGGAUUGAUGUAUUUAUAAUCAUGUAAGUGCUACUCUAGGGAUGUCACAGUACAUGUAUAAUACAAUACUAUGGAAAAGGUUGGCAUGAAUCAGCAUGGAAAUAUAUACAACCUUGUAAUAAGGUCUCCAACUGAUAUGCUAAGAUAUGCUGUGAUAUUCAGUCAUUCUUGAACAUAAAGAAAUUUUAACUGAUCUAUAUUAGUGUUCAUGUUUAAAUGAACAAGGAUCACAAAUCAUCCUUAAUCUUUUGGCUAACUGCUACUCAACAUGUGCAUUACAUAGUUUAACUAAUUCAACAUAAAAUCUAACCAACAAUGUAAGUGCCCUUUUCAGGGGGUUUCCUGGCCAAUGGCCAGCAUGCCAUGUAUUGCCAUGCUAAUGCACAGCCAGGUCAUGCUCUCCACUCUGCGUUGCCCCCCUGCCUCCCCCGAAAAAAAAAAAAAUUACAAACUGAGAAAAUCCUUUCGUAACAUAAAAAAGCAUUAAAGAAUUUAAUGGGUUCCAUGCCAAUCCGAUUUUGGUGCUACUUUUGAUCUGGUAUUUAUGGGUACUGUCCAGCACUUAAACCUUGAAUCUAAUGUAAUGCAACUAUAUGUCUGGAGUUAGCAACACAGGUAAACUAAAUUUAUUUUAGGGGACAUAUAACUAUGUUUUCAUGUUAAUAGCAUAUUGUUAGUCAUUUACAAAUAAUGGAAAUACUGUGGAGAGACAUAUAGUAAUGUACAUAUUAUGAUUCUCAUUGAUUUCUAAUCUAUAGUCCAGUGUUGAUUGAUGCUUUUGUCAUUACAAUGUAAACUGUAAAUCAGACCUUAUAUCCUGUAGAAAGAAAUUAAAGAACAAAUGAAAAAUAACUUGGAAGAGUUUUGCUGUGUUAAUUAGAAAGAAAAACAUCCAGAACACUUAGGCACUGCUAAAACGGGAAACAGUUACUAGCUUUACCAUACAAGGAAGGUACUUUUCCAGCACAGAUUCACCAUCUUCGGCUAUGCACCAACAAAAAAAGGGUUUUUUGCAUUUAUCUCCUAUCAUUCUGCCAAAAGGAGUAAGCAAAUCUAGGAUAAACAAUUGGUCUUGUUGUAAAAUCCUUCUUCACAUGAAGAGGGCUAAAAAUGCACAGACAGAUUAUAAAAGCCAAAUUUGGAUGCCUACAGUCUCAAUUGAGCUAGCCUCCCACUUGCUUAUCCCUGACCUAGCUAGUCGAACUGCUACUAGACUUGCUGUGGCCUAUUCUGCUUCUUAUCCCAAUAAUACGUUCUCCACUUCGCCCUUCGACUAGGAUGAAGUCGUAACAAGGUAGGCGUAGGGGAACCUAUGGCUGGAUUGAAUCCUUCGCCAUGGAAAUACCCUCACCUACUUGCCCUCGCCUAAACUAAGGACCUGCAGGCAACCGAUGCUUAUGUUGAAAGUCUACUUGUCCAUUUUCAUUUUCCUUCUUGUUAUCAAUCUCCAAUCAAGAUGGAAUCGCUAGUAAUCACAGAUGAGCAUGCUGCAGUGAAUAUGAACCCAGGCCUUGUACACACUGCCCAUCACACCUUGGGAAUUGGUUUCGCCUGAAGCAUCGGACCAAUAAUCACCGAGGAUCCUUCAAUGUUGCACAAAAGUCAUUAUGUUCAGCUAGCAUUCAAAAGGCUACUCAUAGUAGAAGUGGUAGAAUUAAACACAGUAUCUCUGCUGGAACAGCAAUGUAUAUUUUCGAUUUUCUAUUCAUUCAUGCCAUACACAAACAUGGUCAUAGACUGAUAUGAUGGGCCAGCAUGGACAGACCAGCAGUAUGCAGAAUUAUGCCAUGUUGAUAGCCUAGUGGCAUGGUACCAAACUACUAAUAUUAGAUAAAUGAUGUACAGAUGGGUGCUUAAGUUUUUGAAGUAAAUAAUAUUCAUGACUAAAGUUUCUUUUUGCAAUUUUAAUAUACUUUGAUCAUUAUUUGGAGUUCAAUCAUGCAGCAUAUUUGAGUCUACAUUUCAUCAAUGCUGUAAGUUGAUUUGGGAAAACAUAACUGAAAAGAUCAACUUAUGCAUGACAGCUUAACUAACUCUUCUGAGCAAUAUAUCAUGCUCCAGAAAAAACAUAAUGAGCUUUAUAUAUUUGUUGUCUCUUUUACUUUCACUCACAAUAUUGAAUUUUUGUGUCAGUUAUGCUUGUAUUCUUGAAGACACUUCGCUUUCGUAUGUUUUGUAGGAUUAAAGUGGCUAAUAACUUCCUUACCUUAGUAAACUUCUAUUAUUUAUUCUAUUUUAUGUUACAAAUUACAUGCUAUUUAUGUGCUUUUUUUUAAAAGAAAUUUUGCCUUUCCUGACAUGCAGGAUUAUGUCAAAGUGAGCAAUAAUUUAGUUUUAUUGCAUGAUUAAAUUCAUGAUUGUGACAGCAUGUUAUUACAAAAUGGCUCUCUUCUUAGUGAAUUUCAGGUAAUUGCAUAUUCAGGACUUCUGAUCUUUGCAGAGUUUCUUUUGAGCUAAACAUGAUGGUCCAAGUUUAAUAUGUGCUUUGGUGCAUCUACAUUACUCAUGCACCUGCAGUUGGCUUCCUGUUUCUUCGCAGACUAUCCAACAGACUAGAUAUCAACUUUUUUUUUUGUUCAAUUAGGGUUAUAGUUGAUUGCACAGUGAUUCAUAUCUUUGCAGUUUUCCUCAGCUGUUGUUGAAUUAUCAUUUACUGCAGGCAUCAUAAAAAAUUAUGGGUCAUAUUUGUUUCUAUGAGCAGUUGAGCUGGUGCACAUGAGCAAACCUUGCGAAUUUGUGGAUAUGCCAUUUCUUCAUCAUGCAAAGAAUCUUCCUAGAAAUUGAAUUAUGAUAUAUUUUUCUUUUUUAAAAUUGAGGUUUAUAUAUGGGACGUAUAAAUUUCUUGUCUGAUGUUUGAAAGUUCUAAGGCUCGCCGUACUGGUCGGUAUCGUACCAUACUAGACAUACUGUAUCGUAUUGGUACUAAAUCAGUAUGUAGUCUCAUACCGUACCGACACUCAGUACACCUCCCCAUCUCAUACCGUACUGUAUAUCGACACUAUAAUAGAAUAGUACCGGUACAAGGUCGGUACCGAGAUGGUGAAUCUUAUUUGAAACUAUUGUGAAAGUACUUUACAUGUUGUUUUCCUAUUAAAAAUAGAAUUCUCCUGCCAUCUUAAGUGCUUCUGGUACUAUCAAGAAUCUCUUUAAGUUAGAUAAGGUUCAUGUUGAAAAAACACAAAUAAGAGCACUAGUAAGAAGUUGGAAAUGCAUUAUUGUUGUCAUAUGUUACUUGAAUGAUGGCAUCCAACUUGAAGAAACUGUUGUUAGACGCUUAGAUAUUUAUCAAAUUGUUUAAUUGUUGUUUUUAGAAAUUGGUUGUAGUUGCCUUUUACUAACAGCUACUUAGCCACCCACUUAUCAAAUCCAGUUCUCACAUAUAUGUCAAUAUCAUGAUCAUUUUAGGAACAAAAUUCUUUCUGAAAUGCAUUAUUUUUUUUCCCCAUCAAUUGCUUUAAUUAAUUGACUGAGUUUCCAAUAUUUCUAUGGAACCUAAGUAUCCAAUAUCAUAUAGACACAUGGAUUUGAGACCCCGCUUGCCUUGGUCCAUCCUGGCCAUCCUAGAAUUGAUGAGAUUGAGACUGGGAUCAAGGAUGGGUGCAGAACACUAAAUAUCUCGAGACUAGAUCAUCCCAAUCUGUCCUGGUCAAUCGUUAUGUCCCAACACUUGAAUGGCCUGGUGUCUCUGGACACCAAUUUUUAAUUUAUUUUAUGUUUUUAUCAUUCUCUUCUUUCUUGUUUUGAAUUAUUGUUUAUAUCUUUUACUUAAAUUUAUAACUGUUUUGUUCAUGACAUCAUUGAUAGGUGGUGGUUUAUUUAAAUUUAUUGCUAUUUUUUCAAGUUUUUUCAGUCCGCUGGUGCCAAUACAGGCACGGGUAACCUAAGUAUUGGCACAUAAGACCUAAUUUAGGAUCUAGGUUAUGACAAACAGUUACAAACAUCUAAAAAUUUAUUAGAGCAAAAGCGGAACAAAAAAAAUUAGAAAAUAGGGCAUCUCAAGAUUUAUUGGGAUGCCAUUCCAUCCGGGUGUUGGGAUGGGACCGUCCAGUUUGCAUCUCAAUCUGGACUUGGACCAGGAUGGGUCCUCAGUCCACAAUUUUGACCCUUGUAUACCCUUGUAUGGACAUCUUAUGCUAACAUAAAUACGCCUAAAUAGGCGUGGAUAAAUCAAAGAUAAUUUGUUUCAUGCCUCUUUGUUUCAACGGUAGCUCCAAUAGUUUCACACUUCCCUUCAGAAUCUGAUCAUUCCAAAUCCUAUAUUUUGAAUAUGGAUGGAAAACACCUUUUCAAUCAGUGCUUUCAUCAUUUGAUCCACCAGAUAAUUCAAUAAAGCUAUCUGGUCAACAUUUGCAGUCAAUUUUGUUAUCUGAAAUUCUUGUUUCUAGAAUCAUUUUUUGUUGGCAUCUGCAAGGGCAUCAUAGAAUGACUUAUGAAUUUAAUUUAUUGUAACCAGUAUAGUUCUCUAAUUCCUUUGUCACGAUGAAUCUAUGCAUUUGCGUACCAAUUAAACAUGAACAAUGCCAUAGUAGGACCCAACUUGAGAAAUACCCAUCAUGAACUUCCACACCUCCAUGAUUAGGGGUUAAUGUGUAUUGGGAAGUCCUUAGUUGUUUCUUGCCUUAUCAUUUGUUCAUAAAAAAGCAUGAAAAUUGCAUGCAUUGUUCCCAUAUUGCAUAUUAGAGACAACAUGUGAAAAGUUGCAUGAUACUAUGUGCAAUGGCAAUAUGCAAUUUUUUAGAAAUAAGAUAAAAUUCCUAAGUGUAGUCUCAAUGAUAAAAAAUAUUUCAGAGCAUAAUAUCUCGUUUCUGAACUGUUCCCAGAUGAUUUCUGCAAAGUUAUUUUUGGUUCAAUGUCAAUGUGAUAGUUUGACCAGAUUCUUCCCUGGGACAGCUAUAUAAAACUACAGAAAUAGAUCGUAGUGACUUAAAUGAGCUCAUUGGCAUCAAUUUUUUGCAGCAGAUCUUCAUUAGUGGGCAAUAUAGAUGUCAAAAAUUUCAUCUUUUUGAACUUUGCAGGACGACUUGCUUCAGGAGCAUUUCAGUGAUCUAGUCAAAUUUGUGAAGGCUUAUGCUUGUAAGUUCAGAGUAAAACAUUAUUUGUGAAUACUUUCCAGUGGGGGAUGAUAUCAGAAGUACUUAGAUUCAUAUAAUAUGUAUCAGCCGAAGACCAAAGUUCUAGUAUGGAGAGGCUUGCUAUCGCCCAUGUUGAACCAUUGGUUAAGGACUUCGCAAGCAGGUGGAAAGCUGCAGUAGAGCUCAUGCUUAAGGAUGUCAUUACUUCCUUUAGCAAUCUUUUGUGCAUAAGGAUGGAGAUCCUAAAGGAGGAAGUGGCUCAGCUGCUGGAGCACCAUAGCAGGCUUUCAGAAUGUGUGAAGUUGAUAAAAGGUGGUUCUGCUCUGAACAAGAAUCUGGUUUCUAUCACCUCUAUAUACGAAAUCAGGAAAUAUUCCAGGACAGUUUAGGCUAUGUUUCUGUAGCUAUAUAAUUUAGCAAAAGGAGAUAGAAGCAGGUGCGGAAAUCUGUCAGUCCGGCAUGCUCCACCCCUAUUUCUUUUGCAUUCAGUUACCUAGUUUCUCAAUAAGUCAGAUGUAGUUCUCAUCAUCGAAAAAAAAAAAGAAUAUGAGAAGAUCUUGGUGAUGCCAUCUGCCAUCUUUUCUUUGAAACCCUCUGCUUUAUAUCAUUAAUUAAUCAAGGUGCACAAGCACUGGGUGAGACGGGCUGCAACGCCGGCAACACAUCGCCAAAAUCUAGAAUUUCCCUCCCUCGAAGCAAGCGGCUGGAUCGGCACUCCAUAUAUAGGGGAAGGAACCAAAUAUUGCUGAUAAGAGGCACUGCUGGCAGGCAGAGGAACAUAAAGAGGGGCAAUCUCUGAAGGAACUUGAGCUGAUAGAACCGGCGGCAGCUGCGAAUGUGCUAUGCUUUGUGGUGGGAAAACACAAGCCUCAGAAAACAUGUGUGACACAGCUUCUGGUGAUUGCGCAAAGUCGGCCCAUGGCGGUAGUGGAGGGGCGGUGGGUUGCGGGUGGCAGGUCGAGC